GGCGAACGGGUGAGUAACGCGUGAGUAUCUAUCCUUUAGUGAUGAAUAUUUUCGAGAAAUCGGAGUUAAUACAGCAUACGUCCCUUCGGGGAGAAAGGCGGCCUCUUGCCGCCGCUUAAGGAUGAGCUUGCGUCCUAUUAGCUUGUUGGUGGGGUAAAGGCCUACCAAGGCACAGAUGGGUAGCCGGCCUGAGAGGGUGAUCGGCCACAUUGGGACUGAGAUACGGCCCAG
rnacentral:rRNA from 1 species